UCAAUGCUACUGUACAUAAUUAGCUACAGACCACAGGGACUGAUCAGGGGACGCUGCCAGGCCAAUGAAUUAAUUACAAGUUAACAUGAUCAUUUAUUAUAAAAGGUGGUAUUUUUUUUAUCUGCGGCCGUAACUAGGUGCAGCUAUUUUUUAAUAGUUGUAUUCAAAAUAUAUAUAAAUGUAUAUAUGAAUAAUGAGAUAUCUUUCAACUUACUAGGAACCCUGUGUGUUACAGUUUGCUGAACAACUUGUGUUGGUUAUUGGCAAGGUUGUCAGGAGCUUCAUUCAAUGCAGAUUAUUGAUUACAGUGAUGAUUGUUCAAUUCAAAACACAAUAGAUUGGCUAAGCAGCCCUUAGUGUAUGAGUCAUAAUUGAUAGCAUACACGGCCUAGUGUGUCAAUCAUAACUUCCUCCACACUAUCACAAUAUGGACAUCCUGUGUGUUGUUUAUUUGAUGGAGAGCAGUGUAGACCUGUAGUAUAUGAAUAACAUUAUUUAUUAUGAUACAUUAAUAUACUAGCAUGAAACUAUUGAAUGCCUCUUCAACUAGUGGAGCUCCUUGUUUGUUGCAAGAUUGAAUAAUUCAGCUGCACUAAUGCACUGCAUAACAAUGCCUAUCAGCUCCCAGAUGUUGCAGAGACAAGAUAUUUUCUGCAACCGCCCUUUAUUUACCAGCAUCUUUGCCCAUUAUAGUUACAUGUAGGAAGUUAUAUCUGUUGUGUGUAAGAACAUGGUCAAGAUAUGAAGUUUCUACAUUUAUUAUGAGUAAUUAAAUUUAGUAUUUUUUAAUUUAGUGGCAGUUAUUCUGGUCACAGAUAACAACUAGCACUGAAUACAUGAACGGAAUCAUAUUGUUACAACAAGCUGACCAUUAGUUCAAACAUUAUUUAAUUUAUUAUAUUAUAUUGAUUAUGUUCAUACAUUAUUACUGAACAACACAUCCAUGAGUACAGCUACAUUUUAAUUUAGGUUUUAAUAAAUAAAUACACCCUUGAACUGUA